rnacentral:lncRNA from 1 species
GGAAAUGCUCUAUGUGAGAGAGCAAGCUUGAGCUUUGUCGUUCUGGGCUGGGGUGACGUGUAGAAAUGCCUGAACCACGUAAUCACGGGACGGAAGAGAAGCUGCUGCAACAGAUACAUACCACUGCAGAGGUGUGCAGCUGAGGAAGCAGGUCCCCAGAGUUUGGCCCAGCAGGGAAUAAAAGCCCCGUUUCACCUUUCUCUUCAUGCCAAUCUUCUUUUCUCUGGGUCAUUUUAAUGAAAACAUGGUUUGAACGGGAGAAAAAAGGAUACAAGGAAUAUGUCAGAGAGAGAUCUGAGCCUGGAGCUGAAGGGCAGAGAUAAACGCAGAGAGGAGAGUGUAAUGAAAUCCCACGAACCCGGUGUCCAGCCUCGACAGUUAUCAACACCUGGCCAACCCUGUUUUCAUCUGUACUGCUAUUUACUGGAUUAUUUUGAAGCCAUCAUUUCAUCUGUAACCACCUCAUAAUCAGAGGACAACAAGGAGACAGAUUUGAGGAGAGAAGAAAACAGUCUCCACAGAAAUGCCAAACUGCCUGAAACGGAGAGAGCCACAGCCAUCUGAAUCAGGAAAAGAUGAGGAGGCAGCACAAAGCACCUCACCCUGGGGCUGGGAGGUGGAGCAAGGCUUGAAGCCCUUCCCCACCCCCCUCCCAGGUGAGACAUCUGGGACCUCUGGGCACUUUCUACUCAACUGUGGAGAGCUUUAGGAGGAGAGGAAGCAAGCAUUUGGCCAAGGAAAGAUAAGAAGCCUUCCCUGAACCAUCCAAGUGUGGUGCUAAGGAGAGACUAUUAUUUGAUUGACUGAAUAAACGUUUAUUAAAACCUUGUCUAUCACUAACCUCCUCUUUAAACCAAUCUAUAGACACAUCCACCCUUUCUUCUUUUCUCCAGUCUCACCUGAGGACGUGUCCCUCCUGUUCCUGCCCAUUGUGUCUACUUUCACCCUUCACCCCUCCUCCCCACUUCCUCCAGGCUUUGCUCCAGUGGUCAUUCUGCCUCCCAACGGAUAAUUUCUCUGCAACACACCUAAUGUCGUCCAUCCACACACACUCCAGCUUCUCACCUCCCUCUGCUCGCUGCGCCUUCUGCUCUCCUCUCUCUGAAAGCUCCUCCAGCUCUCCCUUGCCUGGCUAGAUUAUGCAUUCUUCAAAGCCUCACCUUCUUCAGGAAACCCAUGGCUUGCUGCCUCCCCACCGAGUUAGGCGCGCUGCUCCGGGCUCCUGUUAGUCCUUUACGCUGAGUGUUUCACCCCAGGUGUGCAGCUGUCUGUCUGCAUCACUCCCUCCCCGCUGGGCCUCAGAGGGCAGAGGCUGAGGCUUAUUUCUCCUGCAUCCCUGAGUCUCAGGGUGCUCACUUAGAAGGAGCUCAAAAAUGUUUGUAAGAAAACUGUGGGGGUACAAAGAUGAACACAACCAUCCUUGCUCUCAAACUGACUCAGUCUAUAGAAAAGUGUUUCCCCCAAAGCAAGGAGAUCAGAGUGACUGCCUCCUUACCAUUCUUCAGGAGGCUUCCUGUCACAUUCAAGGUAAAAAUCCAG